AUGGGAGCUUGCUCCCGGAAGAUCUAGUGGCGAACGGGGUGAGUAACACGUGAGAAACCUGCCCUGGAGUGGGGAAUAACUCGGGGAAACUCGAGCUAAUACCGCAUACCCUCGGAUGGUCGCAUGGCCGACCGAGGAAAGAUUUAUCGCUCUAGGAGGGUCUCGCGGCCUAUCAGCUAGUUGGUGGGGUAACGGCCUACCAAAGGCAACGACGGGUAGCUGGUUUGAGAGAACGAUCAGCCACACUGGGACUGAGACACGGCCCAGACUCCUACGGGAGGCAGCAGUGGGGAAUCUUGCGCAAUGGGCGAAAGCCUGACGCAGCAACGCCGCGCGCGGGAUGACGGCCUUCGUGGUUGUAAACCGCUUUCAGCAGGGACGAAAAUGACGGUACCUGCAGAAGAAGCCCCGGCUAACUACGUG
rnacentral:rRNA from 1 species